CCUCAGUCAUGGGGGUUUUUUGGGUUUUUUUUCCCCCAGUUUUUUUGGUUUGUGCAGGAGUGAGCCAGUGAGUUGCAGUGACCAGAUUUCUUUAUGUUCAACCGGUUUAAGAAAAAAAAACAAGAAAAAAAAAGAAAGAAAAGCAGGAUUUGACUUCAGACCAGUUGGCAAAAUAACAUGCCUUCGGAAGCAGGCGUGUUCACAGAGGGAGAAGAGUGCGGUUUGGAGACGGUUAAAGUUUCAUCCCAUUUUAUCAACAUUCCACUCUUUAUUCAGAAAAUUGGUGGUUGUUACCUUGGAAGUACAGCAGUGAUAACCACUUGAAAGCUUGAACCAAACAUGACUGUUUAAGAUGGGAACUCAACCAAGGGUCCAUAGCAUCCUCGCUCUUAAUGAGCCCAAGCCACCCCAUUAUCAGUACAAAAGGACUCGACCUUUCUUAAACAGAAGUCCUACAUGUGGAUUUAGGCACCUAACUAUGACAUCCCUAUUGGAAAAGUUGGCCUAAGAUCCUGCCAAAUUGAAUAAAAGUGCAGAAGA